GGGUGAGGAGACACGCUGGCGAGUAGGGGCGGUGAGCGGCUGGUGCCUCUGCCUCGGCGAUGCGGCGCUCUAGCGCGCGUGGAGAGAUGGCCCGAGCUCCGGGUCAGCAGAGGCCACCCGGGGAGAGAAGAGAGAGGCGAGAGGAAGAGGGGAGCUCGAGACAAACAUUCCACCUGCGAUGCUUUCUUGGAGAGAAGCCGGAGAAGCUUUUCACAACAUCGGAAGUGGCAGAGUGGUUGCUUGCCCGGGUUCAAUCUCUGGAACUUUAGUGGAGCUGGUGAAGGAAGACCAAGAGUAACCUCCCAAGGAAAUAAAGAGAUGAAUGUUUUCAUAAUACCGUCAAGACUAUUUGUUAUGAAAAAAACUGAUGGUGCCAAAAACCAUAAUGAAUGACAUCACCUAGUGGUACCAUACAUUGUGUCACUGACAAAACACAUAUAGUGUGUUUCUUUUGUUAAAUAUCCACCCUGAGUACACAUACUAUUAAUAUUCGGUGUGGAUAAAUGACAAAGCACUGUGGCUAUGCACCAAAAUAAAAUAUUUGUGUUUCCAAAA